rnacentral:lncRNA from 1 species
UUUUGCUACAAUUUACCUAUCUCAAUGUGAGCUAUCUAUGGUUACCUAGUGUUUACUUAGGUGUUAUAAAUGUAAAUAUUUCCACAUGCAUUUAAUUAAAUGCCCCUAUUUUUAUGCCUUUUUCCCUCUGUGUAUGUUAUACGACACAAUGGAAGGGAGAUACAGAGGAAGUUGAAGAGAGAAAGAAAACAAUUAUCAGAAGAUGUUAAAGAGUGAGCCUUGAAAUAAAAAUGCAUCUCUCUAGGAUUUUGACAGAUGAACAAAGAGUCUCUGUCACCCAGAGUGGAGUGCAAUGGUGUGAUCUCAGCUCACUGCAACCUCCGACUCCUGGGUUCAAGCGAUUCUCCAAUUUCAGAUAGAGUCUCGCUCUGUCACCCUGGCUGGAGUGCAGUGGUACGAUCUCAGCUCACUGCAACCUUCACCUCCAAGUUCAAGUGAUUCUCAUGCCUCAGCCUUCCAAAGAAGUUGAGACUACAGGUUCACGCCACCACGCCUGGCUAAUUUUUAUAUUUUUAGUAAAGACCGGGUUUCACCAUGUUGGCCAGGUUGGUCUCAAACUCCUGACCUCAAGUGAUCCGUCGCCUUGGCCUCCCAAAGUGCUGGGAUUACAGGUGUGAGCCACCGCACCCAGCCUGCCUUAAAUUUUUUAGAGGGGGAUAGGUAGGAAUAUAUCAGAUAUACAUUGUAAAUAAAUAAAUUCAGACAAAAGCUGAAAAUCAGGAGAUUUCUGUUCUGGUUCAGCUUUGGCCAUUGGUUUCAUGAUUAGAGAAAAAUCUUCUUUUCUCCAAAUCUCCUCUUCCUCAUGCGUAAAUGGAUAAAUAAGGUGUCAUCCAGGCGUGACAUUCUGAGGCUACAGCUCUAACAUGAGAAGACAAAUAAGGCAUUCUUGUGCUCCCUACAAAUUCUUAACACAAUGUGUUUGUUUAUUUUCCCCCAGUCUAUCCUUGCACAG